rnacentral:tRNA from 1 species
GGACAGGUAGCGAAGCGGUCAAACGCAACAGACUGUAAAUCUGUCGGCUUAUGUCUUCGCAGGUUCGAAUCCUGCCCUGUCCA